CAAGAGCUUAGGGGAGCUUGAGCUCUUUAAGGGAAACUCCUCCCUUAUUCCCAUCCACCACCACAGCAUCAUGUCUUGCUGCAGCUACUGGCAUAUCCUGUCCAACCCCAUCCCCCAAUAUGACUGCAUAACAAACAAGGAUAGAAAGACAACAACAAAAUUUAAGGACCACACUGAAGAUGCGCAGGGAAAAAAAAUACCCAUCACCAAACAAACAAAGAAAGGACACACACUUUCAGCUUCAACCUGGAAGGUAAAAAUCAGCACUGAGCUUAUUAACAGAAGUUGCCAUCUCCCAAGCUUGGGCUCUUAAAAGGUAGAAAAUGCCCUAUAUUUACAAGAAGACAACAGGAACAAGACAGAUCCUUAGGCAUAAUCUUAGAUAUUGCACCUGGACUUCUGGAAUCACUGACUACAGAGGGCAGAGCAAUUCAGGUACCGCCUCAAGUAUCUGAAUUAAAAUCUUACCUAUCUCUACCUGUAGAAAGACCACAAAACACAUUUCUGGAAGGAUCUCCAGGCAGAAAUGGCCAUGUUUCAGCAUG